GGGGAUUUGGCUCAGUGGUAGAGCACUUGCCCAGCAAGCCUAAGACCCUGGGUUCAGUCCCCA
rnacentral:tRNA from 1 species